rnacentral:rRNA from 1 species
AUUGAACGCUGGCGGCAGGCCUAACACAUGCAAGUCGAGCGGAUGAAGGGAGCUUGCUCCUGGAUUCAGCGGCGGACGGGUGAGUAAUGCCUAGGAAUCUGCCUGGUAGUGGGGGAUAACGUCCGGAAACGGGCGCUAAUACCGCAUACGUCCUGAGGGAGAAAGUGGGGGAUCUUCGGACCUCACGCUAUCAGAUGAGCCUAGGUCGGAUUAGCUAGUUGGUGGGGUAAAGGCCUACCAAGGCGACGAUCCGCAACUGGUCUGAGAGGAUGAUCAGUCACACUAGAACUGAGACACGGUCAAGACUACUACGGGAGGCAGCAGUCGGGAAUAUUGGACAAUGGUGGAAAACCUGGUCCAGCCAUGCCGCGUGUGUGGAGAAGGUCUUCGGAUUGUAAAGACCGUUAAGUGGGGAGGAAGCGCAGUAAGUUAAUACCUUGCUGUUUUGACGUUACCAACAGAAUAAGCACCGGCUAACUUCGUG